rnacentral:rRNA from 1 species
AUUGAACGCUGGCGGCAUGCUUUACACAUGCAAGUCGAACGGUAACAGGUUAAGCUGACGAGUGGCGAACGGGUGAGUAAUGCAUCGGGACGUGCCCGGUCGUGGGGGAUAACGCAGCGAAAGCUGCGCUAAUACCGCAUACGAUCUGAGGAUGAAAGCGGGGGACCGUAAGGCCUCGCGCGAUCGGAGCGGCCGAUGUCAGAUUAGGUAGUUGGUGGGGUAAAGGCUCACCAAGCCGACGAUCUGUAGCUGGUCUGAGAGGACGACCAGCCACACUGGGACUGAGACACGGCCCAGACUCCUACGGGAGGCAGCAGUGGGGAAUUUUGGACAAUGGGCGCAAGCCUGAUCCAGCAAUGCCGCGUGCAGGAAGAAGGCCUUCGGGUUGUAAACUGCUUUUGUACGGAGCGAAAAGGCUCUCUCUAAUACAGGGGGCUCAUGACGGCACCGUAAGAAUAAGCACCGACUAACUACGUGCCAGCCGCCGCAGUAA